rnacentral:snRNA from 1 species
GUGCCUUGGCAGCACAUAUUCUAAAAUUGGAAAGAUACUGAGAUUACUAUAAUCCUUAUACAAGAGUGACUUGCAUGUUCUGAAGUGUUCCAUAUUUAU